CGUGUCGGUGACAAGGUCUGCAGCUAGAAAGGUCCUGGCCCCUCAGGCACAGUCAAGGGAAGGGAAUGGAGGGAAGGGAAGGGAGGGAAAGGAAGGGAAGGGGUCUCAUGUCAGGGUAAUGUGGACAUUUUACCCCUCCCCAGGUGGCCUGGCACCUCAGGAUCCAUCAGGUUAACGAGGGAUGCUCGUUAGCAACAAGCUGAACCCGUACAGCACAGCCCAGGGUUAACGGUAGCCUUGCCCUCCCUGGCGGAGCACAUCUGGUUGUUUGCAGUUUUAAUGCAAGCUGAAUUUUAAAGCAGAGAGCAGGAAAUCUCGCAGAUAAGGGUGGAGUCGAUACAGCAGCCGUGACACUGAUGCCCCGUGCCCCCCCGUGUGUUUGUGUGUGUGUGACUUUUUAGGAGCAAACAGCCUUUUUUCCAAACCCCAAAACUUUCCCCCAGUUCCCCUGCUGGAGCACGCGGAGCUGUGUGAGUUUUGGCACACCCCUGCAGCGCCGCUCGCCAAGACUCCGCGACAGCUAACGCAGGGCAGCUGCGGCUCUGAUUCAUUGUUUUCUCCAUCCAGGCUUAUUCACCCCCGUAACGCCUAGGUGGGGCCGCACCUUGUGGCCCCCCUUUCUCUCUGUGUGCCACAGCAGCUGUGCCGUGCUGUGCCGUGCCGUGCCGUGCCGUGCUGUCCAUCCCCAGCUCCUGCUGAGGAAUGCCGCCUGCUGAAGCGCCCGGUGCUUCGUUAAGCCCUGCUCCAUCUGCAGCUUGCCCCAGGCUCCCGGUGUCCAUUGCAGCAGCGCCCAGCUCAGUAAACACGGCACAUCCAGCUGACUCAGUAGCCUGCCACGGCUUUAUAACCUCCCUCUGCAUUUCAAGCGCAGGUCGGGAACGUUUCCACCGACCAGGGCUGCCAAAUGCCAGCUGGGGCCCGGUGCCACGCGGUGCCCGCCGGGGAGCCCCUCACUGCGCCGGGAGCGCGGUGCCGCGGGGCGCUGGGCAGGCAGCGGGGACCUUGGCUGGGGCUGCGGCACCGCGGGCGCUGCGCUGGGAGGGCUCGGGAAGCCUUCCCGGGAGUUCGCUUUGAGGUGCUUCAGGAGUGCUGUUUUCAUGAGAGGUUGGUAAGAACUACAAAAUUACUACAUCUGUAAUGACAUGACUGCAAGUACAAUGUACUUCCAUUUGGCAUUUUUUUCCCCUAGAGAGCAAAUUAUUCAUUAUUAAGUUUCAUUUUCACAUCCACAUUGUUCUGCUGUUGUGGGAUACAUCCUUUUAAUAUUUGAGAUUAGUAAUUGAAAGGGCUGUAUGCAAAAUUGUUUUCAGUGUAGCUUCUGCACGGAGGCGCUUUUGUAAAGCACCCAAAAUCAGAGGCUGGCUGGCAGAGCGCAGCUCAUGGCUCCGCUGCUGCUGAAGGGCCGGAUCCUCUGGGGAGCUGAGUGUCCCCCCCUGCCCGGCAGCAGUGGAAGAGGAGGGUGCAGAGUCACAGCUGAUUUUGCACUUCGCUUUCUAAGAAGUUGUUUCCCCGGAGCACUCAGCUCACACACGGCAGGUCCGUGAGCAGGGCUGUCCGCAGGCCUGCCGCCCAGCAGCCUCAUGCAUCCUCGCCCCCAGCGCCACGCCGCGGAGCCGGGGGGUGCUGGGGCACCGGGCACGUGGCACUGCACUGGUGCUCAGCAGACGCCUCUCAGGAAAGGCGCUGCCGCAGCCCCACACCUGCAGCCCCUCUGCCCACAGCUCUUCCCUCCCGUGUCCCCCUGCUGCUGCCCACAAGGCACCUCUGGUCGGUGCAGGGCACGUGGGCCGCCGGUUGCGCGUACCCCGCUGUGCGCCCGCCACCGGCUGUGCGGCACAGGAGACGUGCCAGUGCCAUGGUGCCGCCUGGGGAAACCUUCCUGGGGGCUGCAGCUUCUUCUUUCU
ensembl:lncRNA